rnacentral:rRNA from 1 species
AACCUGGUUGAUCCUGCCAGUAGUGUAUGCUUAUCCCAAAGACUAAGCCAUGCAUGUGUAAGAAUAGGAGACGUGAUCUCAUCGAAUCUGCGAACGGCUCCGCAAAACAGUUGUAAGCCAAGGCUAGUUUUGCCCCUUUCUGCAGAGGAUGCAUUCCGCUUUACAGCGGGUCUUGAUCUUCCUCGCUAUUGCAGAGCGGGGCAAAUACGGAUAUUCUCGGUAAUUCUGAGACUAAUACGUGAAUUAAUAGAACCUCGCUCCUAGCCUUCCCGUAAGGGAUAGCGAAGGCGAGGGGUGUGUGGAUAUACCAAAGGUCCCUACGGAUCCGGAGAGAACGCACGCUCUGACUUAGCGUACCUUCGCCUUUAAACAGCGUAGGGGGAGGCUUACGUCGACGCAUCCGGGCGCUUCAGUGGGCUUGCUCGGUCUUUUCUAAGGCUGAGCUCCGCUUUCUGUCGCUGUUCAGGCUUGCUCUCGGUGUAUGCGCCUUAGCUAAGCCCUAGGCAGGCGCUUCUUACCUAUCAACCAGAUGGCAGCACAAGAGACAUGCCAUAGUCGCAACGGGUACAGAGGAUUAGAGUUCGAUCCUGGAGAGUGGGCCUGAGAGAUUGCUCAUACUUCUAAGGAAGGCAGCAGGCGCGCAACGUUCCCCUUGGGCAAAGCUUGAGGGCGUUAGGGGUCAUAUUAAUUCUUGCCUUUUGGGUAAGAAAUUAAAAUGGGUUUAAAAUAAACACUUUUUCGAGUAACAAUUAGAGGACAAGUCUGGUGCCAGCACCCGCGGUAAUUCCAGCUCUAAUAGCAUACGUUAAAGUUGUUGCGGUUAAAACGCUCGUAGUCGACACCUGAAUACCGAGAUGGAGCCUCUCUUGUUGGGUAGUGCCUAUCCUGUUCUCUUUUUGCAGGUGGCGUAGCUUUCUCCGUGAGGGGGCUAUGUAGUAGGCAUUCAACUGCACUAACAGCGUACGGUUUCCUUAGGGAAGCCGCUUACAGGUAAGCCAUUAGGCCUCUCCCUAUGUUGGCUUCGGCCUUCCUCUAGGGUUUGGACAGUGGAAACGCCGGCUGUUCUUAGUGCCAAUUACUGUGAGUAAACUAUAGCGAUUAAAGCGGGACAUCACGUCCAAGCUUAGUCUAGCACAGCACAAAUUCAGCACUCCGAGCGAUAUUUGUCGGAAAGGGGCUUUGGGCGCUCCGGAGGACUGAGAUAAAGGGAUGUUCGAGGGUGACCGAAUUCCCAAGCGAGCGGUGAAAUGCGCUGACCUUGGGAAGUCGGCCCAAGGCGAAGGCAGUCAUCAAGGGCAUUUCCGUUGAUCAAGAGCGAAAGUUAAGGGCUCGAAAACGAUCAGAUACCGUUGUAGUCUUAACUAUAAAUGAUACUGACCAGGGAUGGGAUAAUGCUCGUCUCGACUUCUCCCGAAUCUUAGAGAAAUCAAAGUCUUUGAGUUCCGGGGGGAGUAUGGUCGCAAGGCCGAAACUUAAAGGAAUUGACGGAAGGGCACACAAAGAGUGGAACCUGCGGCUCAAUUUGACUCAACGCGCGAAACCUCACCAGGUCAUGAUACGCAGAUGAAGGACAAGCCAAUAGACUUUUCCCAAUAAUGUAAGUGGUGGUGCAUGGUCGUUCUUAGUUCGUGGGGUGACUUGUCUGGUCUAUUCCGAUAACGAACGAGAUCCUUAUACUUAACUAGAGCUAUCUCCUACAGCUCGUACGGCGUACUGCGCUAGAGACCCAUGGGGGUAGUUAAUUGAUUCCUAAUCAACUUCUUAGGUGGAUCGGGGCCGAAAAGGUCCCUGAAAUGGGUUAAUAACAGGUCAGUUAUGCCCUUAGAUGUCCUGGGCCGCACGCGCGUUACAAUGGUUUGAUUUAGAGGGUGAUCUUCUUUUGAUCAGUUCCCGAGCCAUAAGUGGUAGCGGUAAUCCUUAACCCUAACCCUGUUUGGGAUAGACUUUUGCAAGUAUUUGUCUUUAACGAGGAAUUUUUAGUAAUCGUAGGUCAUUAUCCUACGGUGAAUGCGUCCCUGCCCUUUGUACACACCGCCCGUCGCUGCUACCGAUUGGGUUUCGCAUUUACGCAUCUGGAGGGACGGCAAUCCACCUCUCUGAGCGCGGUCGUCUGGCCCAAGAUUUGAAUUAAUGCACGGCCUAGAGGAAGCAGAAGUC